rnacentral:lncRNA from 10 species
GGGAGAAGCAAGUAGACUCUAUAGGGGAAAAGCAGGAGAAAAGAUGGGAGAAGCCUUGGGUGACAGAAGGAGGAAGCCUUGAAUGCAGUAUCCUCAGUGCUAAAGCAGCGCUGGGCGUAGUAAGUGCUCAGUGAAGAUCUGUUGAAUGAGUGAAUGAAGGAAGGGAGGAAGGAAUGAUGGUGGGUAAAUCGGCGAGUGUGUGGCCUACACAGGACAUUAGCUUGAGCACCAGAGAGCAGACCAAGGCAGGUCCUUGGUUCCUGUGCCGACCUGCAUUGCGGAGGACUGCGGGGUCUUGGUAGAUGAAGCCUGGCCUGGGUCUUUCAGGGCCCUCUGGCUGGGGCCAGGAGGCACAGCUGCAGUGGACACUUUCAAACUCAUCGUGCCUGGCCUUGGCACUCGGUGGGCUCAUUUCUGGUCAUAAUGACACCUUUCUAAACAUAGCUACACAAAAUUAAAAUGUCACAGUGCAAAUGCUGCAGCUGUGUGGUACUAGAAAGAACACUAGGUCUUGAGUCAGAAGAGAUGGACUCAAAUCCCAAAUAUCAAGCCAUCUCUCUCCUGGGUGUGACCUUGCACUUCUCUGAGCUUCAGUUUCUUCAUCUGCAAGAUGGGAAUGGUACCAGUAGCUGUGUCACAGACUGUUGUGAAGGCCGAGGAAUUAAGCACGGCGAGAGAUUUUUGGAAGCUGCAAAGCAUCACACAUUGGACAUGACUUUUACACAUAAAUAUGUAAAAAUGGUCUCCUGACUGCGUCCUUGGCUUCCUGGCCUGCCACAUGGAAUGAGGGCAGGGCCUCCCUCUCAGCACAGACUGGUCUCCUCCACCAGCCCAGCCUCCCCUUGUCACAGUGAGAAGGAGCCAUUGACCCACUCAGAAGCCACUCACUUCUCUCUUACAUGGGGAAAUCAGCAAACCACAACCAUUUAUGAAUCCUGCAUGUUCCCCUGGUCUUGUCCAACUGUAUCUGCUACCAUUCCUGAGUGGAAGUUAAAAAAAAAAAAAAAAAAAGGCAGAGCAAGUUGAAGAUGGGAAAGAGGUGACCUAAGGUGACAAAGAGUCAAUGUAGAAGGCAGAUAUGUCUCAUCCUCGCAGUGACUAAGAUUAAUGGGCAUGGAGUGUCAGGAGCCCUGCCUUAGGAAGAACUCUGAGACUGGCUCCAGAAUUCUGUAAAUCCAAUCAAGAGUGUUGCAAUCAGUUAGCAAUGUCUGCCUCAGGCAAGGGAGAAGAAACUAUGGUCUGUAUGUCAUAUCUAAUAUUCUCCCUUAUAUCUAAGGUACCCUCUGCUGUGAGACAUGCAAUCAACCCGAUGAAGCUUUUUAGGAAAAAGUCUAUUGUUACAUCAAGUUUAACGUAAAGCUGCCUCCUUACAUAUUUUAAGGUCAGCCUAAAGGUUUCUCUGCACAUCGUGAACUAUAGCAAGUAGAGAUGUAAACAGACUGUAGCCUACACUUGUGCCGAUCAAUGAGUUUUGGCCAAUCAAAUGUGGCCAACUGUUUGAACCAUGUUCAAACAGGGCAAAUGCUGAGCUAUAACCAACCCAGCUGUUUCUGUCCCUCACUUCUGUUCUCUGUGCAUCACUUUCCUUUUUCUGUCCAUAAAUCUUUUUCCACCACGUGGCUGCGCUGGAGUCUCUGAGUCUACUCUGGCUCAGGAGGCUGCCCAAUUCAAAAUCAUUCAUUGCUCAAUUAAACUCUUUCAAAUUUAAUUCUGCUGAAGUUUUUCUUUUAUCACUCUAUUAAUGCUAGAUGU